GAGAGCCUCCCUCCUCUCUCUCUCUUCCUAGUCUCCUCGAGAAGAAGGACCGACAAACUUCUAAUCAUGACUCGACCAGUAAUGGCUCCACCAAGUUUCGACCCUGGCCGCCUGCAUACAUCACAGGUACUGCCGAGCGUGAGGAGACUAAGCACAGACACUUCAUCACUAGCUGGUACUGCUGAGAGUGAGGAGACUAAGCACAGACACUUCAUCACUUGCUGGUGACCAUGGCUGACUACUUCAGUGACUGGAUAAAGACUGCUCAUGUCUUGAAAUCACUCUGACUCAUGACCUCAGGUCUGGCAUCGCCGGGCUGUGUGGGUUCCCAACCCUUCCUGCUUCACAAGUAGAGCGUUGGAGAUCUUCCCGUGUGGGGAACUGCUGCAGGCCGUCCCAAAGGACAACAACCCAAGGAUCAUGUCGGAUAGUUGCCAUAACAUUCAUGCACAAUAAUUGAACUGUGUGGAUUGUGAAAUUGUUUGUAUGCAAUAAAAAAAACCCUGCAAACUAA